UUAGAUACCCUAUUAUUAAAAUUAAUUAUUAAAAAUAAAGUAGUAAAAGUUAUAAUCUUAAAACUUAAAGAAUAUGGCAGUAUUUUAAUCUAAUUAGAGGAACCUGUUUAUUAAUUGAUAAUCCACGAUUAAUUUUACUUAAAUUUAUAUAAUUUGUAUAUCGUUGUUAUAAAAAUAUUUUUUAGAAAUAAAAAUUUAAAUGUUUUUAAAAAAAAAUAUAUCAAAUCAUGAUGCAGUUUAUAAUUAAGAAUAUAAUGGGUUAUAAUAAAUUUAUUUUUGAAUAAUUUAAUGAAAUAUUAAUUUUGAAAUUAGAUUUAAUAGUAAUUUUAUUAAAAUUAAUAAAAUGAUUUAAGUUCUAAAAUAUGUACAUAUUGCCCGUCAUUUUCAUUAUAAAUUGAAACAAGUC
rnacentral:rRNA from 1 species